UAGCAUAUCAAUAAGCGGAGGAAAAGAAACUAACAAGGAUUCCCCUAGUAACUGCGAGUGAAGCGGGAAAAGCUCAAAUUUAAAAUCUGGCAGUCUUUGAUUGUCCGAGUUGUAAUCUAGAGAAGUGAUGCCCGCGCUGGACCGUGUACAAGUCUCCUGGAAUGGAGCGUCAUAGAGGGUGAGAAUCCCGUCUCUGACACGGACUACCAGGGCUUUGUGGUAUGCUCUCAAAGAGUCGAGUUGUUUGGGAAUGCAGCUCUAAAUGGGUGGUAAAUUCCAUCUAAAGCUAAAUAUUGGCGAGAGACCGAUAGCGAACAAGUACCGUGAGGGAAAGAUGAAAAGAACUUUGGAAAGAGAGUUAAACAGUACGUGAAAUUGCUGAAAGGGAAACGCUUGAAGUCAGUCACGUUGGCUAGGAAUCAGCCUCGCUUCUGCGUGGUGUACUUUCUGGUUGAUGGGUCAGCAUCAAUUUUGACCGCUGGAAAAAGACUUGGGGAAUGUGGCAGCUCCGGCUGUGUUAUAGCCCUUUGUCACAUACAGCGGUUGGGAUUGAGGAACUCAGCACGCCGCAAGGCCGGGUUUCGACCACGUUCGUGCUUAGGAUGCUGGCAUAAUGGCUUUAAGCGACCCGUCUUGAAACACGGACCAAGGAGUCUAACAUGCCUGCGAGUGUUUGGGUGGAAAACCCGGGCGCGUAAUGAAAGUGAAAGUUGAGAUCCCUGUCGUGGGGAGCAUCGACGCCCGGACCUGAACUUUUGUGACGGAUCCGCGGUAGAGCAUGUGUGUUGGGACCCGAAAGAUGGUGAACUAUGCCUGAAUAGGGUGAAGCCAGAGGAAACUCUGGUGGAGGCUCGUAGCGAUUCUGACGUGCAAAUCGAUCGUCAAAUUUGGGUAUAGGGGCGAAAGACUAAUCGAACCAUCUAGUAGCUGGUUCCUGCC
rnacentral:rRNA from 1 species